AAUUAUAUUUUAUUAGAAGAUAUUUACAAUAUCCUACAACGUUCUUAUUUUUUUAUAUAAACAUUUUUAUAUAAUUUUUGAUUUUUGAUUAAUCAAAUUUAAAUAUAUGUUUUGAACUAAAAGCAUCAAAAUUUAAUUCACAUUUACUUUAAAAUUUAAAAUUUAAUUUUGAUCCACUGUAAUAAAAAAAAAUUGUUAAUUCAGAUUUGAUAUCAAAAAUUAAAUUUAAUUCAUAAUUUAAACUCGAAUUUUAAUUUUAAUAUAAAAUAGAUAAAUAGGAAUCGUAUUUUUUAACAAAUUGAUUGUAACCAUUUGUUUUUAUUAGAGAUAUUUUUUAACAAAUUGAUUAUAAUCAUGAGUAGAAUUGAAUUUAUAGUUUGAUAGGAAUGUUAUUAUUUAAUAGAUUAAUCAUGCAUGUUCAUAUUUGAGAUAUUUUUUUAGCAAAUUGAUCAUAACUAUUAGGAAUAGAUUUUUAUAUAUAACAAAGAUUUAAUAAAUUAAUCAUAACCGUUUAUUUUUAUUUAAAAUAUUUUUAAUAAAAUAACUAUUUAUAGAAAAUAUUACUUUAUUAUGCAAAAGUGCAUACUGGUGUGUCAGUUGGCAUAAGUUACAAUAAA
rnacentral:lncRNA from 1 species